rnacentral:rRNA from 1 species
UUGAACGCUGGCGGCAUGCUUUACACAUGCAAGUCGAACGGUAACAUGCCUUCGGUUUCUGACGUGUGGCGAACGGGUGAGUAAUUCAUCGUAACUUUCCCAUAGGUUGGGGAUAACUCAGCUAAAGCUUUUCUAAUACCGCUUUUGUUCUGAGUAUGAAAGCGGGUGACCAGGCAGCAAUUUUUGGCCUCGCGCCUUUUGAGCUGCCGAUGUCAGAUUAGUUAGUUGGUGGGGUAAAGUCCUACCAAGCCGACGAUCUGUAGCUGGUCUGAGAGGACGACGAGGAAGAGUGGGAGUGAGACACGGAAAAGAGUACGACGGGAGGCAGCAGUGGGGAAUGUUGGACAAUGGGCGAAAGCAUGAUACAGCAAUGCCGCGUGCGGGAAGAAGGACGUCGGGUUGUAAACCGAUUUUGUACGGAACGAAAAGGAUCUGGAUAAUACCUGGGGCUGAUGACGGUAACGUAAGAAUAAGCAACGGCUAACUACGUG